ensembl:snRNA U6 U6 spliceosomal RNA
GUGCUCACUUCGGCAGCGCAUGUACUAAAAUUGGAAUGAUAUAGAGAAUAUUAGCAUGGCCAUUGUGCAAGGACGACACACAAAUUUAUGAAGUGUUACAUAGUUUU